UACGUAGGGUGCAAGCGUUUGUCCGGAAUUAUUGGGCGUAAAGAGCUCGUAGGCGGUUCGUCACGUCGGCUGUGAAAUCCCGAGGCUCAACCUCGGGUCUGCAGUCGAUACGGGCGGACUUGAGUACCGGAGGGGAUGGCGGAAUUCCUGGUGUAGAGGUGAAAUUCGUAGAUAUCAGGAGGAACACCUGUGGCGAAGGCGGCCAUCUGGACGGUAACUGACGCUGAGACGCGAAAGCGUGGGUAGCAAACAGG
rnacentral:rRNA from 1 species